rnacentral:rRNA from 1 species
ACGAACGCUGGCGGCGUGCCUAAUACAUGCAAGUUGCGCGAUGAAGAUUGGUGCUUGCACCAAUUUGAAGAGCAGCGAACGGGUGAGUAACGCGUGGGGAAUCUGCCUUUGAGCGGGGGACAACAUUUGGAAACGAAUGCUAAUACCGCAUAACAACUUUAAACAUAAGUUUUAAGUUUGAAAGAUGCAAUUGCAUCACUCAAAGAUGAUCCCGCGUUGUAUUAGCUAGUUGGUGAGGUAAAGGCUCACCAAGGCGAUGAUACAUAGCCGACCUGAGAGGGUGAUCGGCCACAUUGGGACUGAGACACGGCCCAAACUCCUACGGGAGGCAGCAGUAGGGAAUCUUCGGCAAUGGACGAAAGUCUGACCGAGCAACGCCGCGUGAGUGAAGAAGGGUUUCGGAUCGUAAAACUCUGUUGGUAGAGAAGAACGUUGGUGAGAGUGGAAAGCUCAUCAAGUGACGGUAACUACCCAGAAAGGGACGGCUAACUACGUG